GGUUGUAGCUCAGUAGUACAGUGUUUGCCUGGCAUGCUGAAGACCCUGGGUUCAAUCCCCUGCACACCA
rnacentral:tRNA from 1 species